CUUUGGUGACGGCAGCAGGUGCAUGGGUUGAUUAGUGGCAACUGCUGCAUUUAAGUUAAAGCCUCUGACUUACACACCUGCAGUAAUAGUGUUGAUUGUGGCGAGUGACAACUCUUAACUUGGUGAAACAGCUGCUCGCCUCGCCCCGUCCCGCCACCCACCACUGAGCACUCCCACUCCCAGUUUGUUGCCUUUGGAUAUAAUUGUGCGGCGCCGCGCUGGCAGGACGUGAAGCACUGAGAGGGAAGACAGAAUAGUGAGAGUAACAAAAAGAAUGGCAUAUUGGUCGCCUCUCAGUGAGCAAAGGUUAACUAUUCAGACACGGUUGAAGGCACUUAAUUAAGACCGUGUUUGUGGGUGUGUGUGCGCGCGCGCGUACUGAGAAGAAGACUGAGGCGGUAACAUCCCCGGUACAGUGUCCAUCAAGAAACGGCAUCAACGAGUGUGCAGGCAGCUGUUCGAACCUUGCCGCAGACUGUUGUGACUGGAAGCCUGCGUCGUGAGGUGUGUUGGUAUGUUAUGAUGGAGCGGGAAAGGAAGAAAGGAACGAAAAAAGAAGUUGAAUGACAGCUCUAUCACAGACAAAAUGAUGACUGCAGAGUUGCCACGAACGAGUGAGGCAACGCGCGGUACUGGCAACACUGGUGAUACUGGCAACACUGCUUCUCAGAUACCUUACCUGGGGACUAAUGAAGGACAGGUGAGGUUAAUUGUACUCUCGAGACACCGUGGUUACCUGUGCUCACCUGUGUGUCUUAAAUAAUUGACAGGUGCGGGAGUGACACCUGGAAACUGCUCGCUCACCUGACUCAUUAAGUGGUAAACUGGCGGGACCUUGUGAGAAGCAGGUGGCAUUAAUGAACAGUGUUGCCAGGUUCGUGAUUGGGCAAGGAACCACCACCACCACAACGACUGCCCUGUCCUGCCCUGCCUUUCCUCACUAGCUUGCCCAUGACACCCUCCAUCCUUCCCUUGAUAUCCUCUCUCUCUCUCUCUCGACACCUUUCCUCCUU